GACAUAUAAAUAGGCCUUCACAUUGACCUAAUAAGUGUGUUUGCCCUAUAUUGCAAUAAUAAAGAGUCCCAUUUUAAUGGCCUAUAUUUCCUAUUGCAUAACGCACAUGCAAUAAACCAGACUACUGCAGUCAUAUGGCUGUGGUGAGAUCACACGCACAGCCAAUAUAAAUAUGUACAAGCUGUACCGCGCACGGCCACAUGGUGGCAGUAGGGAGCAGGGUUUCUGCUCGACUGAUUUGCUUUCACCAAUCACCGCAGGGUCACGUCUAAUCUAUAAAUCCACGCUGAACAGCGCUCGUUUCGACCAGUUGCCCACCUCCUCAAGCCAGGCCUCCUCCAGCCAGGCGCGCUGCGCAAGGUGAGAGUGAGCUAAUUACAAUAUUACUCUCUACAGUGCGCCGCCGUGUAAUGAAAUGACCGCAUCCACUUAGCUUAAAGCCAAUUUGGUAAGAUAGUGUAAUGUCACGUAGGUUGAAACACAUAAAUAACCAGCUAGUCCCUGUGUUGAUAUCAUAACAUGUUUUAUGACCACGAUGAAGCAUAGAAAUCUUCCUACAAAGGAGGCCUAGAUAAAAGAUAAAACAAGCCUCUCUGUCUGUUUGAUCCAUUAGACGCAGAGACAAACGCCGGUGAAUGAGAAGAAUAACACGGGAUUGAGAGUUAGGCUUUUAAUUACUCCAAGUACUUUCUUUAGUGCUGAGUGCUUUCUAUAGGAGCAAUUUGUUGGAGUAGAUAACAGCCCUUUUCUCCCGAUUUCUUUCUCUCACACAGGUACUCGGGGGCGGUUCGCUCUGAUGCGGGGCAGCAAUCAAUUGCUCAUUCUUACCCGGACGACAGCGGCCUGCAGCCCUCAGAGACGCUAAUUCAACCACCAGUCAGCCUGUUUGGAUCCCGGCUGGACGUUUGUAAAGAUUCACAGCGACCACGAGCCAAGUCCGCUGUGUUUGAGGACCGCCCGAGGCUGCCUCGCCUCGUCCAGGAACCGCCGGGCCGCGGGGCUGAUGGCUCAUUGUGCCGCUCCCCGGUCAGCCGCAGAUUACGGGGGGAGGGGGUCUCAUGCUCCAUGAUUUGAUUGUGCUGUUCCAGUCCUGAGGAGCCUGACCAGAGAGCGUCUGCGGGCCCGCCAGAUGAUGAGGACGUCCCAGAUGAUGAGGACCUCUGAGAAGAACGCCAUCCAGCCCAUCCUGCUGGGGAAUAAACUCACGGCAACGAAGGUAGUCGCCCCGCUGGGGUGCUGGAUCUCAAAUGACCUGCCUGGACUUCUAUUUAAACCUGCUGUGGGUCCGCCGUGGGCCUGUAUACCACUGUAGUACUGCAGGGGACGGCCCUAUGUCCGUUCCUCUUCCCCCUGUAAACCUUGGCCUCUGUCCACCAUACACUAUCCGCUUGGACAACAAGCUUGACUGGACAGUGUUCUCCAUGUCAGUCUACAUGUAGGGGCAGACUCUACCUCCUGAGGAAGUGAGCUGCCGACAUUAGAAGACCGAUGGGAGCAUGGUGCGGAUGCUCUGUGAGUCUCUUCUAGGCUUGGGUGAAUCUGGAACAGCAGCAUGACUAAACAGCUUGUUAAGUCCAACACUCUCCUGACAAUGAUCAGGAUGGCCGGCGUGUUCUGGGGUAGAACUGGACCCCCUGUAGCCGUCAGAGAAAAGAGACUGUGCAAAACCCCUCUCUACCCUUGAUAAUGACUCCGGACUGCAGUCUGAACAGAGAAGUCUGUUCAGCAGUUGACGCCUGGCAUUGAGGAGGUCCACCGGGUGGUUCGGGAAAACCUUAAUUCCUGUGGACAGAGAAGUCUUUAACUCCUCUCACCACCGCCAGGUCACUCUAUACUGCACUGUCGUGGAAUUCAGUCAAUUUGAACAUUUUAGGAUUUAUCGUAUCAAGAUGAUCUGUGCUACAUACCUGUGACAAUUUAUUUAAUUUCAGUUACAUAGCUACUUCAUUUUAUGUACAAACAUUCAGCUGUUAUAAAUGUCAUCAUAUUUGAUCCAUAAUUAGAAUAUGUAUAUUUAUGGAGUGUUUUGUGUUUGUAUUUAUUUUUGAUGUUUGUUCUAUUUGCAUUGAAGUUUCUGGCUUGUGAUUAGAGACUGUAACAAAAUAAAUUCUUCCGGGAUC